rnacentral:tRNA from 1 species
AAGGUUUUAAGUUAAUACAAACUAAUAAUCUUCAAAAUUAUUUAUAAAAAUACAUUUUUUAAGCCUUA